AGCGGCGGCUUCGGCGGCCUCGGGACUGGGAGGGCAACCUGGCCAUUUGCAUCCCGGUGGAGCUAAGUUUGGAAUCUGUAACCCGAGGGCA
rnacentral:lncRNA from 1 species